rnacentral:tRNA from 1 species
ACCUGGCUGGCUCAGUGAGAAGAGCAGGAGACUCCUGGUCUUGGGGUUGUGAGUUCAAGCCCCAUGCUGGGUG